rnacentral:lncRNA from 1 species
UUUGUCGUAGUGCUCCCUCGAAGGAAGGAGGUGGUCGCCAGGGCAUCAUCUAUCACACCUUGGAAUCGGGGAAUGGGGGAAGGGAGAAAGCAAAAUGAGCUGGCCUUUCAUCCUUCAGAAUGUUGAGGGGGAAGUUGCGGGGAGUUUAGCCAAAUCAGGCGGGCGCGCGCAAAUUUUGGAGUUCGCAAAUUUUGGAGUUUCGGCCCUGGUUUCGCCUGUGCUAGCCCCGCUUGUUGUUCUACUCGCCUGUCAAAGGCUGGCAACCUUGGAAAUAGCGCAGGAAUGACCAGGCACAUAUGGACAGCUUCGGCAUGAGCAGCGUCGAGUUUGUAGGUACUGUGAUAGGCAAUGCAUUUCGGCGCAAUGGGCUCCGCGGCGCCUCACACUUAAGGAAUAAAUUACGACGACCCUAGCAAAUUUGUUACUUAGGUUGGAAUAAACUGAGACCCGCCCUAAACGAAAAAAAUCACUGCUCCGCGCUCUUCAUCUCCGCAGUCCUCCGCGAGAGACGACACGGCACGAAAACAAGGCGGCCGGGGCCCAGGACGCAAAUUUAGGAAGAUUAUACUUUUUCAUCAUUUGAUGAUUUUACAUUCUCCCUUCGGGCCUGUCCGCUUCACCUCGGUGGCCAGGGGAUGACUGGGAAGGAGAAUUUGGUUUCAUUAGGCACAACUUUAAAUUCCGUGUGGUUGGAUACCUUAACCAGUUGGCAGGUAAUGCGUUCCAGAAUGGACACCAAGAUCUACAGGGAGCAACAACCUUCAACGACUAUUCGG